GGGGAAUAAUGCAAAUUACCCUGAUCUUCCUGGAAGAAAGCUGGGGUAUAAAUAAAACACAAUUUGGGGUGUAUGUCCGAUUUCAGUUUCUAGCUUUCUCUGCAAGAGCUUUUGAAAUUCUGACAGGGCAAAGAUCGAGUCCUUGGACUCUUUCCCAAGGUGCAAGUAAGAUACUGCCUUUUCUGUUCUACUAGGCAACAUGGUCAAACAAAAUACAUUUUGCUAGAGAGUAAAGAAGAUUCAAGGUCCGCAUACUUGUCAACUCAAGAAAAAGGUAAAACCUAACUUUUCUAAAAGCCUAAAUUUAGGUCCAGUUGCUAGAGGUUUGUUUCCCCCCCUUUCAAUUAACACACAUGCUGGAAUAAGUAGUCCAUGCACAAUGAGGAAUCAUAACUCUGCUUCUCAUUCUUCUGCAGCACAUAGUACAGCCAUUUAUCCAAACUUGCCCACAGCGACUUACUCACUUUGUAAUAAAAUCUAUGGGAAACCUUCUCAACUGCCAUUCUCAAGCAGUGACUUCAUCUCAUGCCAAAUAUAGGGUCCACCUAGUGUCAUUUCCAUCAAAAACAACAGGAGUAAGAGGCAGCCAUUUUUCCUAUGUCUCUUUUACCUGCUGACAUCUGUAAGGUAAGAAUUUUUAAAAUCAAACAUUUUAAAAUCAAAUGAACAGUAUGCAGUUCAUUUAUAUGAAUGGCCCACUAUAGCUGUCUGUGCAAAACAUGAAGCACAGGCCCACGCAAGACUGAGCAACUGGCCGAAGACAAACAGAAAUUAGCAAAAAUGGAAGAGUAACUGGACUGUAAGAAAACAUCUGGAGAUGCAGACAAUGACUGCAUGCAGGAAGAAGAAAUAGAAGUGAUUGUGGCAGGAGGUCAGAACAGAGUAGAGAUAGGGAAGAAAUUCAUUUAGUUCGAAUCUAAAUGCAGACAUGUCUAAUUUUGCAAUUUCAAGCCACCACAGAAUCCGAAAUGUAAUUAUCAUGCAGAUUUUGCCAUUCUUCAAGUCUGGAGUGGAGCUCACCAAUAUUUCUUCAUAAGUCUACUAAGAAGCAAUCUGCACAUCCACGGAAAAAGCAUCAAAUGCAUUCUAUAUAAGUUUCUUCUAAUCAAGCAUUCCCAAGAUGUGGAGCUCACAUAAUCAAGACAAUGGGGAAAAAGAAACAUCCAUUUCAUGUCUGCCAUCCAAUGAUGUAUUCCAUUUCUCUCUGUCAAAUGACACUAAUUAAGAUGGACCAGCUGGAUCCGUGGAAGCAGCUGAGAAGCUGGCCUUGAACCCUUUGAAAGAAACCAAGGUGUACAGAGAUCUUCCUGUUACUGAAGGGUGUGAGGUUGGCUGGUUGUGCACCUUUGGAAUCCUGGGGGCUGCCUAAAUGAAGAAUUCCACACUGCCAUGUGCAAUGAUUACUGGAUGUGCUACAUAUGAAGACCACCCAGAACUUCAGCUGGCCCAGAAUGCAGUGGCUCCAGAAGUUAUGGGCACCAGGCAGUUUGCCCAUGUAACACCUCUGUUUCAAGGGCUGCACUGAUUACCACUUUUUUCUGGGUGUAAUUCAAGGUGCUGGUUGUUGUAUUUAAAGCCUUUCAUGGUUCAGGGUGGGACUGCUUUCACCCAAUGUUAUCUACCUGUCCCUUGAGAUCAGGAACGGAAGGUUUCCUCCAGGCACCCUUCAAGGAUGCCAUCUAUAAAGAUCCCUAUGUCAGGGCUCCUCAACCCCCUUCUCUGGAACAGGAUUCUCCUGAUAUCAGAUGGGCUCCAACCUUGGUUAGAUUUCAUAAAGCAGUUAAGACCUGUUUAUUUUGGCAGGUCUUUGAUAUAUAAAGGGGGAAUGGGUAUAAGAGUUAUGGUUGUUUCUCAGUGUUUGAGUAACCUAUAUUGUUAAUAAGCCACUCAGAAGAGCAUAUAAGCCUAAUAAAAUAAUAAAUGAAUAAAUACACAUAAGUAUAAUUGUAGCAAUUUUUAAAAAUCUUU